UGGCGGCAGGCCUAACACAUGCAAGUCGAGCGGUAGAGAGAAGCUUGCUUCUCUUGAGAGCGGCGGACGGGUGAGUAAUGCCUAGGAAUCUGCCUGGUAGUGGGGGAUAACGUUCGGAAACGGACGCUAAUACCGCAUACGUCCUACGGGAGAAAGCAGGGGACCUUCGGGCCUUGCGCUAUCAGAUGAGCCUAGGUCGGAUUAGCUAGUUGGUGAGGUAAUGGCUCACCAAGGCGACGAUCCGUAACUGGUCUGAGAGGAUGAUCAGUCACACUGGAACUGAGACACGGUCCAGACUCCUACGGGAGGCAGCAGUGGGGAAUAUUGGACAAUGGGCGAAAGCCUGAUCCAGCCAUGCCGCGUGUGUGAAGAAGGUCUUCGGAUUGUAAAGCACUUUAAGUUGGGAGGAAGGGUUGUAGAUUAAUACUCUGCAAUUUUGACGUUACCGACAGAAUAAGCACCGGCUAACUCUGUGCCAGCAGCCGCGGUAAUACAGAGGGUGCAAGCGUUAAUCGGAAUUACUGGGCGUAAAGCGCGCGUAGGUGGUUUGUUAAGUUGGAUGUGAAAUCCCCGGGCUCAACCUGGGAACUGCAUUCAAAACUGACUGACUAGAGUAUGGUAGAGGGUGGUGGAAUUUCCUGUGUAGCGGUGAAAUGCGUAGAUAUAGGAAGGAACACCAGUGGCGAAGGCGACCACCUGGACUAAUACUGACACUGAGGUGCGAAAGCGUGGGGAGCAAACAGGA
rnacentral:rRNA from 1 species